AACGAACGCUGGCGGCAGGCUUAACACAUGCAAGUCGAACGCAUCGCAAGAUGAGUGGCAGACGGGUGAGUAACGCGUGGGAACAUACCCUUUUCUACGGAAUAGCUCUGGGAAACUGGAAUUAAUACCGUAUACGCCCUUUACUGGUGGACAGUUUAGGGGAAAGAUUUAUCGGGGAAGGAUUGGCCCGCGUUGGAUUAGCUAGUUGGUGGGGUAACGGCCUACCAAGGCGACGAUCCAUAGCUGGACUGAGAGGAUGAUCAGCCACAUUGGGACUGAGACACGGCCCAAAAUCCUAUGGGAGGCAGCCGUGGGGAAUAUUGCAAAAUGGGCGAAAGCCUGAUCCAGCCAUGCCGCGUGAGUGAUGAAGGCCUUAGGGUUGUAAAGCUCUUUCACCGAUGAAGAUAAUGACGGUAGUCGGAGAAGAAGCCCCGGCUAACUUCGUGCCAGCCGCCGCGGUAA
rnacentral:rRNA from 1 species